UACGUAGGGGGCAAGCGUUAAUCGGAAUUACUGGGCGUAAAGCGUGCGCAGGCGGUCUUGCAAGACAGAUGUGAAAUCCCCGGGCUCAACCUGGGAACUGCAUCUGUGACUGCAAGGCUGGAGUGCGGCAGAGGGGGAUGGAAUUCCGCGUGUAGCAGUGAAAUGCGUAGAUAUGCGGAGGAACACCGAUGGCGAAGGCAAUCCCCUGGGCCUGCACUGACGCUCAUGCACGAAAGCGUGGGGAGCAAACAGG
rnacentral:rRNA from 1 species